rnacentral:rRNA from 1 species
GAUGAACGCUAGCUACAGGCUUAACACAUGCAAGUCGAGGGGUAACGAGUGGAAAGCUUGCUUUCCUUGUCGACGACCGGCGCACGGGUGAGUAACGCGUAUCCAACCUGCCCCCAACUAGGGAAUAACCUUGCGAAAGUAAGACUAAUACCCUAUAAUUUCCUCAGAUGUCAUCUGACGAGGAAUAAAGAUUUAUCGGUUGUGGAUGGGGAUGCGUCUGAUUAGCUUGUUGGCGGGGUAACGGCCCACCAAGGCAACGAUCAGUAGGGGUUCUGAGAGGAAGGUCCCCCACAUUGGAACUGAGACACGGUCCAAACUCCUACGGGAGGCAGCAGUGAGGAAUAUUGGUCAAUGGGCGGAAGCCUGAACCAGCCAAGUAGCGUGCAGGAUGACGGCCCUAUGGGUUGUAAACUGCUUUUAUACAGGAAUAAAGUUAGCCACGUGUGGUUAUUUGUAGGUACUGUAUGAAUAAGGACCGGCUAAUUCCGUGCCAGCCGCCGCCGUAA